UGCCAUUAACGAAGAAAAAUGAGAAAAACCAAAAAAAGUUGAAAUCGCGGGGAUUUGUUGAAUUACAGCGGCGCUUUCUGUGUCCCAUCCCUCCAAAUUGGAGCAAUCUAAGAAGCAAAUGAUACAGUUUUAAGGUGUUUACACGGGGUAAAGUGUUGAUAACUGUUGCCGUUGUUCCUCAGUUGUAAUUCCUCAAUCAGCGGAAACCGAACCAACCAAUGUUAUCAAUUGAAACAGGCAUAUCUCUGGUUUGUUAGAUGCCACGUCCAAGAUUUUGUUCCCUACUCAACCUUAUCAUAUCUAAAUAUGGGCUAUCCAGAUGUACACAUGUGCAAUCCACAUGUCUUCUCAUAUAGAACAUAGACACAUCAAAGACUUAGUUUGCUUUCUUGCAACAUUUUAUAUCUGUCCUUUAAAUUGUGUAAGGUAGGUGGUUCAAAGAGAGCAUUUUUUCCCCUUUCUAUAAUUGAACUUUUGUUCAGGAUUGUGAGUGUUGGCAGUCAUGUGGGUGAGGCAUGCAAUGAUGUCAAACAUUAUUGUAGGAUGGUAUCCCCAAAAGGCUGAUGUUAAUGUGAGAUGGACCAAUAAGAGGACGACAAACAUCAGUAGCCUCUCUACUGAAAGGGACCCUCAAAAGUUUUUCCUAUAAGAUUUGUAUCAAACUCUAUGUCACCAUUGGUUCCUUUGGGGACCCUUUUGCUUUGGUGUUGACACGUUUUAUUGAGAAGUUGUCCCUUGACUUAAUCUUCUUCUGCAGCUUUUUGAAGAGAUAUUGGUUUUGUUGGUUCAAUUGUUUCGGCUGAAAAUGCCUUUCAUAAA